GCAAGAUGUUCAGACAAAACGGGUACAGUGACAGUGAUUUAUUUUUGGUUGUGUUCUGGUAACCCAAAUUGUAAAUAAGAAAAAAAAACAAAAAUAAUUUACAGAAUGCAAAAACAAAAAAAAUAAAAAAAUUAAAAGGAAAUGGAAAGUGCCAAGAAGUGGUGAAGACUGAAAACAGUAAAUGUUUAAUUAAUAAUUUCAAAUUUGGGCUGUUGAAUGACAUAAUCAGGUGGCGGCGACGACGCAUAUUUGGUGGGAUUGUUAAUGAAUGGUGAACAUUUUGAAUCGGAGCGAGUAAUUAAUUAUAUGUCUUACUAACAUUUCCUAUCCUCCACCUUUCUUUUUAUUGUUAUUUGUGUUUUGUUGAGAAAUGGAUCAAACAAAACAACUAAACGAGUACACGAACUUGAUGUGAAAAAUUUGUACUAAGAAAGUAUACGAGGGUUCAAUGAAAAAGUACACAGGGUUCUAGAUUAUUUGAAAAACCUGGUUAAACAUAUUUGUAAAGAAAUCUUUCUCCAUAUCAACUUAAAUACAUGAGCUAGUUAGGAUUAUAUGAUUUUCGGAAGUUUACUUUAUAUGGGAGCUAUUAUCAAUUUCAACUGCCGGGAAAAUCGCAGAUUUGAAUAAAAUAUUUUCGUGAAGCACUAUAUCCCAAAAUGAUUUCCAGAAGAGGAUUUUAUGUAUAUGCUUCAUGAUUUUAACUAACCAUUUAACUAAAGUAUUAUUUGAAAAAAAACAGCUGUUCAUUGUUUAUGUUUUUGAGCGAAAAGUUGGC